rnacentral:rRNA from 1 species
GUAGUCCACACCGUAAACGAUGUGUGCUAGUUGUCGGGCAGCUUUGCUGUUCGGUGACGGAGCUAACGUUUUAAGCACACCGCCUGGGAAGUACGGCCGCAAGGUUAAAACUCAAAGGAAUUGACGGGGACCCGCACAAGCAGUGGAACAUGUCCUUUAAUUCGUAGCAACGCGAAGAACCUUACCUACCCUUGACAUAUCAGUUGGGAUUUCCAGAGAUGGAUUUCUUCAUUUAGUUGGACUGAAUACAGGUGCUGCAUGGCUGUCGUCAGCUCGUGUCGUGAGAUGUUGGGUUAAGUCCCGCAACGAGCGCAACCCUCGUCGUCUGUUGCUACCAUUUAGUUGAGCACUCAGAUGAGACUGCCGGUGAUAAGCCGGA